GGUCCCAUUGGUAUUCCUAAGAUAUGAAUUGUCAGCUAAUAAGUUAUCCUGGCAUGCCUAGGGAGGGCUAUGCUAGGGAAAAGCAGGUCCUUCUCACCAUCCACGAUCCGGUAACGCCCAUGCGAUCCCUUCAUACGUGCCAUCUUCCUUCCUGUGCCAUGAAGAUUGCUCGAUAGCCAGGGCGCCACCAAUUCCGCCCAUGGUAUCGCCGUAUUUGUCAACGGCAUUCGACGGCACAAAUCCAUAUCCCUCUAACCCAUGGUAAUUAUACGUAUUACCUCCGCAUGUUACCUUCUUGGCCAGACUCUUAUCCUUACUCUUGUGUGGAGGAGGACCAGCAUUGGCGGCAGCCAAAAGAGCGCAAACGCAGGACAACGAUGUAAACCAAAGGGGCCGCAUGAUGGGAUGGCUAGACGGUGAAGAUGCUCGUGUCCUAAUGCAAAGGACUUAACUCGAAAAAUCUAUUGCGACGAUCUCCUUAUGUAGGUGCCAUCCAUAGGUCUGGGAGUUUAUUUAUUUCAGCCCCCUGCUCCUCGCAGUGUAAGGGACCCCCUUCCUCUGCAGUACUAAUGAUGGGAAUAUCGUUCUCAACAAGCAUGCCUGUCAAUUUUCCCAGCCAUUAAGGUAGUCACAGGAAAAUUACAGCCAAUCCCACAACAUAUCUUCGCCAUCCCCAAUGAUGUAUUGGAGCUAGGUAUCCAAUAGCCUGGGUUACAGCUUGCAGUAGCAGCUCAGGGGCCUGGAAGCCCCUCUCUCCACAUCCAUGGGUAUCCCGGGAUCUUGCCAUUUUUCCACCAAAAGAUAAAAGGGUUCAAGCUAUAUACUAGGCAGAGUUGUUCUGCCGUCUACUAGAUCCCCAUGUGUUGGCGAUGUUGGUGGGGCUUUUGGGAAACAGAGAACGUGAGAAGAUCACGGCGGCCAAUUGGACCAGGCGCACCCAGCU
rnacentral:sRNA from 1 species